rnacentral:rRNA from 1 species
UACGUAGGGGGCAAGCGUUGUCCGGAAUCAUUGGGCGUAAAGCGCGCGUAGGCGGCCCGGUAAGUCCGCUCUGAAAGUCCAGGGCUCAACCCUGGAAAGCGGGUGGAUACUGCCGGGCUAGAAUCCGGAAGAGGCGAGUGGAAUUCCUGGUGUAGCGGUGGAAUGCGCAGAUAUCAGGAGGAACACCAAUAGCGAAGGCAGCUCGCUGGGACGUUACUGACACUGAGGCGCGAAAGCGUGGGGAGCGAACAGG